GACGAACGCUGGCGGCGCGCUUAACACAUGCAAGUCGAACGGAAAGGCCUGCUUUCCCUUGUGGAUUGCGGGUACUCGAGUGGCGAACGGGUGAGUAACACGUGAGCGAUCUGCCCCCAACUUGGGUAUAAGCCUGGGAAACUGGGUCUAAUUCCCGAUAGGACUGCAGGGUGGUGCCUGUGGUGGAAAACGAUUUUCUAGUGGUUGGGGAUGAGCUCGCGGCCUAUCAGCUUGUUGGUGGGGUAAUGGCCUACCAAGGCGGCGACGGGUAGCCGGCCUGGGAGGGUGGACGGCCACAUUGGGACUGAGAUACGGCCCAGACUCCUACGGGAGGCAGCAGUGGGGAAUAUUGCACAAUGGGCGGAAGCCUGAUGCAGCGACGCCGCGUGGGGGAUGACGGCCUUCGGGUUGUAAACUCCUUUCGACCGCGAGGAAGCCACCUGGUUGGAAGGGUGGUGACGGUAGUGGUAGAAGAAGCACCGGCUAACUACGUG
rnacentral:rRNA from 1 species